AGAAAACCCUUUGUCCUGAGAAGAAUAGAGCAAGGUAAAUGAGAAGAUUAGCUGGUUGCCACCAGCUCCGGUUUCCUGGCUGUAACUGAACUGCAUUCUGUUCAGCUGCAAAUGCUGUCAUUCCUCCUCACUGUCACCUCAAGGAGAUGUGUGGGGCACAGAUUUCAGCUGCCCCUGUGGGAGCUGAGUGCCUUGGGGAUCCUUCCUUCCGAUCCAGUUGCCCCUGUUGCUUUUCCCUAUCUACUCCAGAGGCCACCCUGUUGAAAAGAAAGCACAGGGCCCUUCCAGCUUAUUUACAUGGAUUUGUCAAAGUUGGCAGAAAAUGUCUUCCAGGACUUCAAUACAGUUGAUGAAGACACAGGAAGGAAACUCAGCAAUACUGUGGUGAAAAACUCCCUGAAAUAAGGGGCAAUUUUACUUGUAAAGAAUGGUGGGCAAAUAUCUUGUUUUAAGGGGGAAUUUAGAGAAUGCAUACGUGCUUUUGAAACCCUUCCCCUCAUGGCCUCGUUCAAGCAUCCUUCCCCUUGGAUAGUGUUCCCUGGUGCAGCGUUCUGGGGGCUUUCCCUCUUCUCUGACCGCUCAAGGCACUUUGUUGCAUCUCUUACAUGGUAACGACCCCUCUCUACUGUGUUUUAAGGUUUUUUUUUCUUUUCCCAACAUGCCUUAGAAACUUUGCUGUAUUGCAAAGUUCUUGCUGUAUUGCAAAGAGUUCUUUGGCUCGUCUGUCUUUCUAUCCGUAGCUCUAACACUGUGUCUGGCAUACAACAGGCAUCAAAUCAAUGCUUGUUGAAUGAAGGAACAGGACUGGGAAGGGAGGACUACUUGCAAGGACAAAUUAUUCAGAGGGAAGCUCUCCAGAAUACAAAUAGGAGACAAGCACUAGAACCAAAGACAUGAGAAAGACGCUAUAAGGAGCUUAAGUCUUGAAAGUCUCAAGUUUACACAUUCUCAGUUGUUUCACAAUCAAUUCAGUUUGAUUUAAUGUCAUGUGUUAAACAUCAUUCGUGGUAUGGCAUUGUGUGGGGAUGCUGUGUUGGUCUCAGCCUAUCAAUAGUGAUGCUAUUGGCUGGGAGCACCCUGGGGGCACUCACCUGGGCCUGUAUUACUUGUGACAAGCCCCCAUAGACAUUUUUCCAAUGUCUGGAGCCAAUGUUGGGGCUGGACCAGCCUUUAUGGUUCUUAUUACAUGACUGUAGGACACACCUCAGCAACAACCUUCGGGGAACUUUGAAGAACAAGAUUUAUUACUCACAGGUUCUGGAGGGUACAUGGUAUGCCAAAGCGCCCCACAGCAAGGUCAUGAGUAGGGAGAAAGCAUGUAGACCUAGGGCUCUGCCUUUAUUAGUGUCUGAGUGUGGGGUGUCUAGGGUUUAGCAGGUUCAUUCUUUUUUUUUUUAAUAUUUUGUUUAUUUAUUGGAGGGGGGGAAGAGAGCAUAAGCAGGGGGAGGGGCAGAGGGAGAGGGAGAGGCAGGCUCCCCACUAAGCAGGGAGCCUGACACAGGGCUCCAUCUCAGGAUCCCGAGAUCAUGACUUGAGCCGAAGGCAGUUGCUUAACCAACUGAGCCACCCAGGUGCCCCUAGCAGGUUCAUUCUUUAUCGGAGAAUUUAAAAACAUAAGAGUGGGAAUUAAGGGAAUGAGAAGGGAGACGCCAGGUCACUCAAGCGGUCAGUUACCUAGGUUUCUCCAGGGUGUUCUAAAAGGGGAAUUCAUGGAUGGGGGUGGCCUGCUUCUUGUACCUAUUUGAUUUGCCAGUAGCUGUGUCAUAUGGCUGGCACUAAGUUUCUUUUUUUUCUUUUUUUUAAAGAUUUUAUUUAUUUAUUUGACAGAGAGAGACACAGCGAGAGAGGGAACACAAGCAGGGGGAGUGGGAGAGGGAGAAGCAGGCUUCCCGCGGAGCAGGGAGCCCGAUGUGGGACUCGAUUCCAGGACCCUGAGAUCAUGACCUGAGCCGAAGGCAGACGCCUAACGACUGAGCCACCCAGGCGCCCCGGCACUAAGUUUCUUUAAGAUGGGUAUCUUUGAAAUGGACGCCUCAGCAAUCAAAAAGCUUAAGUCAGACACCCCAGCCCCAGCAAAAAUGCCCAAAGGAGGAGUGGUGAAUGAUUGUGAUAUCAAAUUCUGUGCUUUUAAAAAUCAGACCACUCUAGACAUGAAGAGAAUAACUUACACAAGUUUUAGGGAAGGAAGAAUGAAGAAGAAGCUGGGUUUUCUCCAUCUUUCAGGUUUCUUCUUUCUUUUUUCUAUUUUUUUUUAAGAUUUUAUUUAUUUAUGAGAUUGAGAGAGAGAAAGAGCACAAGCAGGGGGAGCAGCAGAGGGAGAGGGAGAAGCCGACCCCCUGCUCAGUGGGGAGCCUGACACCAGGCUCCAUCCCAGUACUCCAGGAUCAUGACCUGAGCUGAAGGCAACCGCUUCACAGACUGAGCCACCCAGGUGCCCCUUUCAGGUUUCUUCUUGAAACUAUAAGAAAUGUUCAUAACAGCUCCCCCCUCCCCCACCACUCUCACCCCAGCUUCCCUUCUCCCCUUGGCAAAUGUUCCCCUACCAAGGAUGUCCCAUUUAAAAAGUAGCAUUGUUCUACCUACUGCCUUCCCUGGGAUCUGAUUAGUCGGGGCCUGCGGGCUCUGGGGCCUUCAAUGGAUAAUUUCAGUGUAUGGUCUUCUGUUUACUUGCACUUUGGGAUCAGAACGUAAGUUAAAAAAUGUUUGCCCUUGAAAACACAUUAGAGAAUUAACUGCUGGUUUGAGAUGUCCUCUGCCAAGUUUGAGCCCCAAACACAUUUUAUACCUGAGUUAAGCCUCUGAAAAUGGAGUCCAGAACGGAAGCACAGAGCUGAGGUUUUCUCUGAUAAUAUGCAGGCCCAGCUCCUCGAGCAAGACAAACUCACACAGCGUAGAGAGCCAGGGGCAGGGGAAUAGUGGACAAUUUGAAGAAACAUUCCUUCAGGCACAUCUGUCCGUGCCCUCAGCUGCAUGAAGUAGUUAUAAAGAGCAGUUUCCUUGUUUUUUUUUCUUUCCCUUUGAGCCUGUACUUCUUUUAAAAUCUUAAUCUGAAAAUUAUACUAUUCAAAAUAAAAUUCAGAAAUCUGAAUCACCAAAUCACCAAAACAGCAACACAGAGCUGUGAUUGAUGAGGGACCUGAAGGCCUGUGUUUCGGUUGCAAAAUUUAAUUCUAGGACUUUAUUUUUGUUUUUGUUUUUUUUUAUAACUGUGUUUCUACUUCUUUUUCUUUCUUGUUGCUUUCCCCCCUCAAAACUAAAUUACAUCUUAGACUUUUGAAAUAGCUUCAGAGCAAAAGCCUGCAUUCUUAAAAAUAAUUCCACCUUCUCUGAAGGUGGGGUGUUGGAGUUUAUUUCAGGUUUUGAGGUAGGACGCACCUCCAGGCCCACAGCGAGGGACGAUGUCCAGCUGCCUUGGAGAGUUUCUCCCCCCUCUUUUGCCCUUUCACAGAUGUCCACGAGGACCCCAAACUCCCCUGUCCCCGUCCCUGCCAAAAGAACAUGUGUUUCUGUUGCUGGAAAGGGUGUCGGGCCUGCCAGCCAGAGCAUGGCGUCCCCAGCCUCUGCGUAUUGUCAUGAGCCUUAGUAUUUGCACUCUCCGUGGACGUUUCUGUGACAGACACUUGCCUCCCUCCCUGGGACUGCUUAACAGGCACAUUGCACAUCUCGUAGAGGGGUGGAGCUGGAAAUCCUGCUUGGGCAACGAGAACAUGAAUAAUCUCUUUCCUUUGUUGCGUCCAUUUCACCAAAUGUCCAGAACCUUGGGUAUAUGUUGGAGUCAAAGAUAUCACUCUCAGAGCCAAACUCAAUGCUCCCAGAACACCGGCUUCAAGAUGGGCUUAGUACUUGCCAUGGAAGGAUGGGAUGGGUAGGUAGAUCGUGCCUGCUUCAGGGCAGACUUCUGGGACCUGUUUGAGUUCAGAGAUGGCAGACAUUUUUGGUUGAACUAGCUGGUUUAAAGCUAAACCAGGUACCUCCUUUCUCAGACUUAUCGACACGUAUUCCCUGUCUUCAUGCUCUGUCUAUAAACCAACUCCUAGCUGCAUGCUCCAAGUCCCAAAUACCUAACCACAGCAUUCAAGACCCAUCAUGUCCGUCCCUAAUUGACAUUUUCUCCUAACUACAUCUCUCUGACUGGCCUUACAAUCCACUCUACUAUAACAACAUUACAUUUCUUUCCCUUGGAGGAAGCCAUUUAUAUUUUCAUCUCCACAUCUUUACUUACGUUGUACUCACUGUUUGGAAUGUCCCCCACCCAUCCUCGCCUUCUCUGCUGGUUAGUUCUAUGCACCAUUCAGGACCCAGCGGCAAUGUCACCUCCUCUGAAACCUCUCCUGUGUCCACAGUGAGGGUUAAUAACUCUCUUCUGUGGCCCUUGUACAUAUCACAGUCCUAUGUAGUCCAGCAGUAAACUAACUCAUUCCCUCCCACCAUCAUUAGAUUUGAGCUCUUUGAGGACAGGGGUGUGAGAUCCACCUGGACCAAGAAAACCCAACCAGGGAAGCACUUUGUUAAGGGUGCUCUCAUCUGGUUUUUUGCAUCUUACAUACUGAAAAAUGCAUAGAUCUUAAAUGUAUAGCUUGAUUAAUUUUUACAUAUAUAUGCAUCUCUGUCUUUAUCACUCUCUCCCACCAUCCAAAUAAAGAUAUUCAGAACAUGAUAAGAAUCCAAAAAGUCUCCCUUGGGCCCCUCCCAGCCAGUUAGUAACCCCCCUUACCCACCUCAGGCACCCACUAUCCUGACUUCUAUCACUAUAUAUUAAUGCUGCCUAUUUUGAGCUUCAUAUAAUAGGAUUAUAUAGUAUACACCCAUUUGUGCCUGACAUUUUUCACUCGACAUUGUAUCUGUGAGAUUUAUCUAUGUUGCUCCAUUUAUCAGUGGCAUUUGUUACUUUUUAUUCCUGAGCAGUAUUCCACUGUAUAAAUAUACCACUUGCUACUUCUUAUGGACAUUUGUAUUGUUUCUCAGCUUUAGUUCUUAGAAAUAAAGCAGCUAUGAAUAUCCUUACACCUGUAUGUGCUUUAGUCGUCAUGAGUGCUAUAUCCAGGACAGAGUUGCUGGGUUAAGGGCCAUUGUGUAUAUUUAGCUCUAGUAGGUUCUACGAACCUUGUUCCGAAGUAGAUGUACCAAUUCCCACUCCCAUCAGCAAUGUAAUAGUUCCAAUUGCUCCAUGUUCUUGCUGAGCCUUGGUGUAAUCAAUCUAUUACAGUUUAGCCAUUUGGGGAGGGUGUUAUGAUAGCUCACUACGGUCUUAAUUAGAUUUUUUCUCCCGGUGACUGAUAAAGUUGAGCAUCUUUUCUUAUGUUUAUUGGCUUUUUGACAUUCUCUUUUGUGAGGUGUCCAUUUAUGUUUUUUUUAGGUCUUAACUUGGAACUAUGGUAGCCAGUAAUAUUCACUCAGUCCAGGAUUGUGUCAAUAACAUUGCUUGAAAAGCUUCUUUAAUACAAGGCCUUAUAAAGGCAUCUAAAGAGAAAACUGAGAUAAAUUGAACUGAGAUAAAGUUCACUGUAUUUUAACUCAGACAUCAUUAGAUACAAUUGAUAGAAAUUUCUAAUCGUUUCUCCUGUGACUCUGGCAAAAGCCCUUAAUCCUUAAUCAAUUCUUCAAAGAGUUGGGUCUGUCCUGUUCCAAGUCUAGAUCUCUUUUCUUUGGGGUUCAAAUUCUACAGACCAUCUUCUACAUAUAUUAUUGUAAUUAGAUCAGGUCUACUUUUUGUAUUGGGAGCUUUAUUACAACCAUCAGUUAAUUGUUCUACCAUUGCUCAAAGUUGGUGGUUUAAGUACAAGAACUUUAUCAAGUCAAUUCUGUUGAAAGGAGGCUUCUUUCCUCUGGUAUUCUCUGUUUAAUGCCAUCGCUACUUUUUUCUUUUCCAGCAUCGGCCUCUCCCUUGAGACCUGUAGUUUCUCAUCUCUCUUUGUGGGCUCCCUGGUAGCAGAUCAAGGAUUUUACUCUUUAGUUACUUGACUUUCAAUAUCAUGUGGGCCAUUGCCCAUAAGUAGUUGGUGCUCAAUAAUUGUUGACUUACAUUCAACUGGGAUUUGAAAGGUGUGGGAUGUUAUCUGUACUGGUGUUUUCUUGGUAGGUCUGCCUUCAUGAGAGAACUUUAGGGCAAGCCAUGUACCUUUGUGACUGUGACUCAAACAAUAGUAGGAUCUGUCUUGAUCUAAAAUAUGCAAAACAUUUCUAGCUCCUACCUGGCUCGAUAGUUCACCACCAUUAGAAUACAGUCUUUGAGUUAAGUCUCUGACUUUAGACAUCUCUUAUUAUAUUAUUUCUAUGCUAUCUAGAAGGAGAACACAAACUCAGUGGCGUCCAUUCACAUUUUAGUAAAGGUUCACUUAUUAGUUAUCUGGCCUCAGAAAGAAGGCCCCUAAAGAACGGGACAAAGAUGAGGUGAGUCUGGAUGUGGAGGCAGGGUUUCACACCCAGGAGAAAUGCCAGGGGAGAUAGAUGAGUGCAGUAGUCAGCCAGGGGCACCAUAAUCAUGGGACCUUCUCCAUUCAUUCUUGGGAGUCAGGAAACCUGGGUACAAGUCACAGGUAGCUAUUUUUUGCUAAGCAACUUUGGAUACGUUACUUCACUUCUCUGCAACUUGGUUUUCCUUUCAGUAACAUGGAGAUAAUAUCUCCUCUGCUUAACUCACAGGGUGGUUGUGGGGACCAAGUAAAAUAAUGUAUGUGAAAGUGUCUUGUAUAACCUAAAGGACUAUCACACGUGUUAUAUUUAUUUAAUAAUAAUAAUAAUAAUAAUUACUGUUGGAGUGCAUAAAAAACAGAGAGGCGUUGGAGACAAAUUGCUUACUUUAUAAUUUUACUCUGGGCUGUGGCUUGUGAAUGAAAAGACUGGCUGAUGAACCCUUAUCUAUAUGGAGAGUUUUAUAUUAUCAUGCAAGCAAUAGCAGAAAGGUUCAAAUGCAUGUGCAUAUUGUACAAAUGAACCCAUUAGUGAAAAAUUAUUUUUUUAAUUAAAAAUAAAUGUAUGAGGUGGCUUGCUUUAUUUCUCGGAUGUUGAUGGUUUGGGUGGUUAUUCAUCCUCCGUGAAUUU